rfam:Picea glauca, whole genome shotgun sequence.
AGAGUGAAGUGGGGAAAUGUUCCAUGUGAACAUCACUUGGACAUGGUUGGUUAGUCGAUCCUAAGAGAUGGGGAAUCCUUGUAUCAAGGGUGCACUCUGCAUGAACAUUGAAAGAGAAUUGGGUUAAUAUUCCUAAACCAGGACAUGGUGGUGGACAACAAUGUUAGGAAAUCUAGUGAUGCCAUCGGGGGCCUGGGAAGAGUUAUCUUUUCUUUUUAAUGACUUUCCCACCCUAAAAUCGGUUCAACCAGAGAUAGGGUCCAAUAUCUGGAAGAGAACCACACAUAAUGCAGUGUUUGGUGCCCCCUCGGUGGCCAUUGAAAAUAUGGAGAUCCGAGUACCAUCCAUGCCCGAUCGUACUCAUAUCUGCCUCUUUGAAUUUUUCAAUGCCC